UACGUAGGGUGCGAGCGUUGUCCGGAUUUAUUGGGCGUAAAGAGCUCGUAGGCGGUCUGUUGCGUCAGGAGUGAAAACUCGGGGCUUAACCCCGAGCCUGCUUCUGAUACGGGCAGACUAGAGGUAUGCAGGGGAGAACGGAAUUCCUGGUGUAGCGGUGAAAUGCGCAGAUAUCAGGAGGAACACCGGUGGCGAAGGCGGUUCUCUGGGCAUUACCUGACGCUGAGGAGCGAAAGUGUGGGGAGCGAACAGG
rnacentral:rRNA from 1 species